CCUACGGGGUGCAGCAGUGGGGGAUAUUGGACAAUGGGGGGAACCCUGAUCCAGCGACGCCGCGUGAGUGAAGAAGUAUUUCGGUAUGUAAAGCUCUGUCAGCAGGGAAGAAAGCAAUGACGGUACCUGACCAAGAAGCCCCGGCUAACUACGUGCCAGCAGCCGCGGUAAUACGUAGGGGGCAAGCGUUAUCCGGAAUUACUGGGUGUAAAGGGAGCGUAGACGGCUUUGCAAGUCUGGAGUGAAAGGCGGGGGCCCAACCCCCGGACUGCUCUGGAAACUGUAUGGCUGGAGUGCAGGGGAGGUAAGCGGAAUUCCUAGUGUAGCGGUGAAAUGCGUAGAUAUUAGGAGGAACACCAGUGGCGAAGGCGGCUUACUGGACUGUAACUGACGUUGAGGCUCGAAAGCGUGGGGAGCAAACAGGAUUAGAUAUCCCUGUAGUC
rnacentral:rRNA from 1 species